rnacentral:rRNA from 1 species
CCUACGGGAGACAGCAGUAGGGAAUCUUCCACAAUGGACGAAAGUCUGAUGGAGCAACGCCGCGUGAGUGAAGAAGGGUUUCGGCUCGUAAAGCUCUGUUGGUAGUGAAGAAAGAUAGAGGUAGUAACUGUCCUUUAUUUGACGGUAAUUACUUAGAAAGUCACGGCUAACUACGUGCCAGCAGCCGCGGUAAUACGUAGGUGGCAAGCGUUGUCCGGAUUUAUUGGGCGUAAAGGGAGUGCAGGCGGUUCAAUAAGUCUGAUGUGAAAGCCUUCGGCUCAACCGGAGAAUUGCAUCAGAAACUGUUGGACUUGAGUGCAGAAGAGGAGAGUGGAACUCCAUGUGUAGCGGUGGAAUGCGUAGAUAUAUGGAAGAACACCAGUGGCGAAGGCGGCUCUCUGGUCUGCAACUGACGCUGAGGCUCGAAAGCAUGGGUAGCGAACAGGAUUAGAUACCCCUGUAGUC